rnacentral:lncRNA from 1 species
AAGCUACCUUUGUUGGGCCAGGAGGAAUUAAUGAAGUAUAUCAGCUUUCUAUCCUUAAACUAACUUUUUGGAUUUUAGGCUUUGUGAUACUUUAAGUGUGUUGAGUAUACUCUCGUAAAGAGAAUUUGUGUCAUAUUUCUGUCUCUGCCUAAUUUCUCCAAAAUUUGUAAACUAUUUGUGAAUAUUCUUAAUUUAUGACAAUGUGUUUGUUUGCAUACAGUCAAGCAGGGUCAUUAGGGCUACUCAGGGAGAGAGAACCCAGAAAACUAGCAUGCUGGCAAAACGGACAAAGAGAAGUGGAAAACAGGUCUGUUACGUGCACUUAUGGGGUGUACUCUUAUUUGUGAAGAACUUUGCAGCCAGCCUUAUACAUGGAUAAGCUUACACUUUGAUAGAUAAAAGACGAAGGCCCAAUGUAGAGACCAUCGACAUUCAGAUGACCAUGCAACAAAGGUUCCAGCCAGUUCCAGAUGAAGACACCACCCCUGGCCAUCAAGAAGCUAACCCGCCUCCACCAGACAGAGCAGGGUGAGAGUUUCGUGAUCCCUAAUAGGAAGAGACUACGCCCGAAGCCAGCAUGAAGCAGUUACAGAAAAAAGACUAUCGGUUCCUCUGCCUCCCAUAAAGAUUUAUGGGAAUGACAUCUCUCAGUGGGGAAUGGGCAGGAAAAUAGGGUCUGGAGGCAAGGAACUUAAGGUCCAUAAAUAAUUUAGCUAUGUCAAGAAAUAUCCUCUCCACAAGGCGUACGCCGAGUAAAUGACUUUGUAACUUUACUUCAUCCUCU